AGCAUCAAUGUGUAGUCUUGAUUGGCUUCAGAUUUUGAUAAAUUGCUUAUUGCCUUUUACAGUGGUGACUUAAAUUAAUUGAAAACAUACAAUUAUAUAUAUAUAUAAAGGAUUCUACCUCUACAAAAACAUAAAUACUGCAUUCCUUGUGUACUGAUGCAUAUUGUUACAAAGUUUCUGUCUGUUCUAUUUCCAUUCUCCCCGACUUCAUUUUCUUGGUUCAGCAACUGCUUAAAACAAAAUUUCAAAAUAAACUCAAUUAUGAACCAUAAAGCAGGUGAGACAUUUAAACGUGUGAUCUCUGGUCUUUCAUAUUUUUAAAGAUCAUCAAGCUUUUUAUAGAGAGAGGGUGUAAAAUUUAUUAUAUAACCAUUCAAUUUGAACAUCUUAAUUCCUGUUAUUUUAAGUCUUUACUAUUUGAUGCC
rnacentral:lncRNA from 1 species